GGGAGGACCAUCUCCCAAGGCUAAAUACUCUCUAGUGACCGAUAGUGAACCAGUACCGUGAGGGAAAGGUGAAAAGUACCCCGGAAGGGGAGUGAAAGAGAACUUGAAACCGUGUGCUUACAAGUAGUCAGAGCCCGUUAAUGGGUGAUGGCGUGCCUUUUGUAGAAUGAACCGGCGAGUUACGAUCUGAUGCAAGGUUAAGCAGCAAAUGCGGAGCCGCAGCGAAAGCGAGUCUGAACAGGGCGUUGAGUAUUUGGUCGUAGACCCGAAACCAGGUGAUCUACCCUUGGUCAGGUUGAAGUUCAGGUAACACUGAAUGGAGGACCGAACCGACUUACGUUGAAAAGUGAGCGGAUGAACUGAGGGUAGCGGAGAAAUUCCAAUCGAACCUGGAGAUAGCUGGUUCUCUCCGAAAUAGCUUUAGGGCUAGCCUCAAGUGAUGAUUGUUGGAGGUAGAGCACUGUUUGGACGAGGGGCCCCUCUCGGGUUACCGAAUUCAGACAAACUCCGAAUGCCAAUCAAUUUAACUUGGGAGUCAGAACGUGGGUGAUAAGGUCCAUGUUCGAAAGGGAAACAGCCCAGACCACCAGCUAAGGUCCCAAAAUAUAUGUUAAGUGGCAAAGGAUGUGGUAUUGCCCAGACAACUAGGAUGUUGGCUUAGAAGCAGCCAUCAUUUAAAGAGUGCGUAAUAGCUCACUAGUCGAGUGACACUGCGCCGAAAAUGUACCGGGGCUAAACAUAUUACCGAAGCUGUGGAUUGUCCGUAGGACAAUGGUAGGAGAGCGUUCUAAGUGCGUCGAAGCAUGAUCGCAAGGACAUGUGGAGCGCUUAGAAGUGAGAAUGCCGGUGUGAGUAGCGAAAGAUGGGUGAGAAUCCCAUCCACCGAUUGACUAAGGUUUCCAGAGGAAGGCUCGUCCGCUCUGGGUUAGUCGGGUCCUAAGUCGAGGCCGACAGGCGUAGACGAUGGAUAACAGGUUGAUAUUCCUGUACCACCAUUUAUCGUUUUAAGCGAUGGGGGGACACAGUAGGAUAGGCGAAGCGUGCUGUUGGAGUGCACGUCUAAGCAGUGAGACUGAAUGGUAGGCAAAUCCGCCAUUCUCAAGGUUGAGCUGUGAUGGGGAGAGGAAACAUGUUUUCCUCGAGUCGUUGAUUUCACACUGUCGAGAAAAGCCUCUAGCUAGAUAACUGGUGCCCGUACCGCAAACCGACACAGGUAGUCAAGAUGAGAAUUCUAAGGUGAGCGAGAGAACUCUCGUUAAGGAACUCGGCAAAAUGACCCCGUAACUUCGGGAGAAGGGGUGCUCUUUAGGGUUCACGCUCUGAAGAGCCGCAGUGAAUAGGCCCAAGCGACUGUU
rnacentral:rRNA from 1 species